GUGGUAGACUGUUGCUGAGCAGUGAAUUCCCUCUGCAUUAAGGAUGAGAUCCCUAUGAUCUUUCAGGAAAUCUUCCUAGACAAGAAAAGUUUGAGCUUAUAGGAAAAAACAUUUGGACCAAGAGAGCUCAGCUGUGAGUAGCACAGCCCACAAUAAGUGGCUGCUGGGAGCUGAGAGUCAUGUUACAGGAGUUGUGAUUUGGGAUGCCUGUAAUUAGCCAUUUGAGGAAAACUGUAGCAUCUAUAAUAAACUGCCCAACAGCUAGGUGAUGGGGAUAAAGUUUUAUUCUUUUCAACUGAAUGUUGAUACGCUAUGCAGCCUCAGCGUCUCUCUGAUUCUCUCACUAAUCCAGGAUUCCAAGUAUUAUAAUAAUCACUUUGUUCCACCAGCUGAAUCUAGCCACUCCCCCCAAAUCUUGUAAAAUUUUGCUUACACUUGUCUUUCCCAAAUCAAUCUCCAUGGAAACACAAGUCCCACUGAAUUUUAGGCAGCUGUGUCCACUUAGCUACUGUUCACCUAGGUAAAGAUGCAAGAAUAAAAGGCACAAGGCAUACAUACCACAGCAGCAAUUACUUCCCACAAGGAAUCAGAGAUUGGAAGUGAAACGGAAACAUCUUUGACUGUAAUAGCAUCUCUUUUAGGACAAGCCAUUUCCCCAGGGAGAAUUUGCAGCUCUGAGCAAAGGCAGAACAAUAAAAGAUCAAGGAUGACUUUCUAAGGCUGCCAACAGAGCAGCUAACACCUUGAAGUCUGCUUUUGACCCCUUUAAAAGCCAGGACAGUAACAAAGUGCCCACAACUCAUUUUCUACAAGCUGGCCAAGCAUCUCUUUUCCUAAACCACAAAACCCUCAGCAUUUGUAGAAAAUAACAGGCAGGAAGGGAUGUCCAGGGAGAUUAGGCCCCCGUCCCAGCAGGCGUCACUCCAGCCUGUUUUCCUGAGUGGUUUUCUGCACUUUUCCAUCUUUCCACAUCUGUCCCACUCUGGAAGUCACUAGUCUGUGCUCUCCUCACCUCCCAUGGUUUCUGCACCUUCAUUUCCAAAGGCAAGUGAAAAUGCUGCUGUACACGUGGGCAACUCCAGGGACCUAUCCUCCUCCCAUUUCCCCUAAAGCAUUUGCCAGACCUUGGGACUGACUCCAAGGUCAGAGCAACUUGCUGAAGCUAAAGCCCAACUGGAUUCUAUUCAGGAGGCGGUCCCUUGUCAUUUUCAUCUCCAGAUAGAAGACCUCUGUCUCCCCAGAAGGUAAAAUAACAGAAAAGAAGUAGUCCAAGGUGGGUGACUCUGCAAACAGCAUCUUGGCUUGAGCCCUUCAGAUGCAUCCAUCCUCUACUGAAACAUAAGCUUCAGUUCAGCCCUUGGCUUCGUGGGAAUAUGCAGAUGACAAAGAGAGUGGCUCGCCAGCCAGGAGCUAAUCAGGAGAAGGGGGAAGAGGCACGCGAACUCUGCGAGACACGGCUGGACGAAUGAGCUAAGAAGACGGACCAGCCACAUAGCACUGGGGCUGGUGGCGAGAAGGCAAGUGACAGCCUCAUGGAAGAGGUGGCACUGGACGGGAUCAAUAAAGGAUCAAUAAAGUUAAUGCAGGCAUGAAAGAAGAAGACAGUCAUGCCUGAGGACACGGCCAGCACAACGUUCAGAGGCACGCGAGCACCCGGCGCGCUGGAAGAGGAGCCCAUUGCCUGGCACGUGGCCCCGGCUGCGGAACCACGGGGCCUCCUGCAGGAUCCGUCAGAGGCGCAUGAGGAGGAGGGCGGCAAGAGCCUCCCUGUGGUUCAGACACAGUGUGACAAAUACAUCCCAAAUGGAGAGAUUAGGAAACUGAGGAACUAAUGCAUCUGUAACCUGUCCAAGGCUACACAGUUUGGGAAUGUGGAGCUGGGGCUCCUGUUUUGACACUGGAAAUCUUCGCUUUGAUCACUAUGCUAAGCUUCCUUGAGGCUAACCUUUCUUCUCAUUCGGAUUCUGGGUUAAAGAACAGUGUGGACAAUCCCUGGACUGACAGGUUAGGAGGAAUCCUGGUGUGACACUCAGGACUUCACCGGGGUGAGAGUCCACAGCACUGUGUGUGCACUGACACUGCACUUCCUCCGCUGGCCCACGUGACUCCUUCCUCCCAUUCUGCAGAGGGAGAGUGGCCGAGAAGCGUGUGCAGGGCAGGUGCUACGAGAAGAGAGAGAAAAGCCCCAGACUUAGAAAGAGCCCGAGGCGUCCUUCAGCCAGACCACCUGGUUUUACCUCAAACAACGGAGGGUCUUCGCAUUGGAGAAGAAAAGAUAGGACACUGGUAACAUUUUCAAAUACCUGAAGAGCUGUCUGUCAGCCAGAGAGGGAUGGGGCAGCUCCAAAUGGGAGAAAUAAUAAGUCCAGGGAGUUUAAGUUAAAGGAGAUGUAUAAAGUGUAUCAUAAGAAAAAUUAAAACAAAAAAGUCUUUUUAAGGACUAUCAGUGAUGGAAGGGGCCUUCUUGGGAGGAACAGGACUGUUUGGCCAAGAACACUUGAAGCAGAACCUGACUGACCUGUCUGGGUCAGCUGGGCGGUGACACCAGUGUCCCCCCACAGUCUAUGCCCACGUCGUCAAGAGUCAUCAUCGUAUCCUUUCUUUCUUCUCAAGAGAAAAAAGCUGACCUUUUGAAGAUGACUACAUCUCCCUCGGCCACAGAA